rnacentral:rRNA from 1 species
UACGUAGGGUGCGAGCGUUUGUCCGGAAUUACUGGGCGUAAAGAGCUCGUAGGUGGUUUGUCGCGUUGUCCGUGAAAACUCACAACUCAAUUGUGGGCGUGCGGGCGAUACGGGCAGACUGGAGUACUGCAGGGGGAGACUGGAAUUCCUGGUGUAGCGGUGGAAUGCGCAGAUAUCAGGAGGAACACCGGUGGCGAAGGCGGGUCUCUGGGCAGUAACUGACGCUGAGGAGCGAAAGCGUGGGGAGCGAACAGG